UGAUUUCUUAACCCAAUUGCUACCGCGCCCAGAUGAAACCCUAAUUAGGGAGGCACGUUCUCCGCCGCGCUUCCAAUCUUGAUUCUGUGCGCCCGCUGACUGGUGGCUAACUCUCAUCUCUAUUUCGCCUCUUCGGUCUUCUCCAAUUCUGGCGAUUCUGAAUUUUAGGGUUUUUUCAAUUGAGGAUUUAUGUGUAGGUGGAAACGAUUGGAAUGUUCAUACGCUCAUGCUAUUGAUGAAACAUCGGAGAUUGGGGGAGAGGGCAUGGAUCGAAUGCAUAGGUUCUAUUAUGAACCAAAUAUGGACAUUAUAUAUGUUCUAAGCAUUCAUUACAUAGAUUUGUCUUUGGCAAACUUUUCUAACAAUAUUCCCAGUUCACGACAACAUCCGGUGUAUCUUAGAGGAUUGUUAAUUCCCAAGGCAUUGUUACCACAUGACAAUGGAAGUUUGCCCUAAGAAUUCGUUUUAGUUAGUCAUCAACUAAUGAGUUCACAUUGUUAUGUUGUGGCUUAGUCCCACAUCGGAUUUGCAACAAAUUCUUUUUCCUUUAGUUGGAUAUAAAUGCGGAGGUGGCAUCGUCCCACAUCGACUUCUUAACAAAUGUGUUUCUCUUUAGUUGGAUAUAAAUGUGGAGGUAGCAUCGUCCCACAUCGACUUUUUAACAAAUGUGUUUCUCCUUAGUUGGCUAUAAAUACGGUAGGUGCUGAUAAACUUAAGCAUACAAAAUCCAGAGAGCUUUAGUGGACUGGAUGCGCGUUUGGGCAAUUCUAAAGGAUGCACUAUGAUGUUCUUUAUAUGCGCAAUGAGAGAGCAGUCGGAGAACAUAAGAUUUCGGAGGUUAUGGAUGAUGCAGUGCACAUUAAUUUGAUAUUAAUCAUGUCUCUUGAAAAAAAAGUAAUUUGAUAUCUUUGGCAAGUUUUUCUAAACACAACCCUGGACAACAGCACAGGAUCGCCUCUAUCUUUGGCAAGCCUUUCUAACAAGGGUUUCUUGGCGUGCCAAAGUGUCACAAACUUGAUUCCAAACAGCUUGUAUGGUCAUAGUAUGACCAUUGCUCUGCUGUUGGCUGUUUCGUCUGGGCCACCAUUAGAGAGUGUUUGUAGCAGUAAUGCCGCAACAGCGUUGCGAGAAUGUAUAUGGCCAAGAUGCGCAAGCGACGCAACAGAGGCGGAGACGGAGGACAUCAUCUAAGUUGCCACUCCAAUAUAUAUUAAGGUUUAUUAAAAAUUGGUGAUUUUGGGUGUAGAUAAACUCACCCUGAGUUCGUAAAAACAAAUGUUACGAGAAUUAUGAAUGUAUGUUUGGUCGAUGUAAUUCAAAUUUUACUUAUAAUAAAAUCUCCGGCAUUUGCAUGGGAACUU